rnacentral:rRNA from 1 species
CUUGGCGACCAUAGCGUUAUGGACCCACCUGAUCCCAUGCCGAACUCAGUAGUGAAACGUAAUAGCGCCGAUGGUAGUGUGGGGCCUCCCCAUGUGAGUAGGACAUCGCCAGGC